UGGAUCUCUAACGAGCACGAGACGAGCUCAUUUUGAGCGAAGUGACUGAUACCACGCUUCCAGGAAAAGCUCCUAAGCUUCAGCUUACGCAGACCGUACCGUAAACCGACACAGGUGGGCAGGAUGAGAAUUCUCAGGCGCUUGAGAGAACUCGGGUGAAGGAACUAGGCAACAUGGCACCGUAACUUCGGGAGAAGGUGCGCCCUUUUUGGUGGCUACAUGCGUAGCUGAGCUGAGAGGGGCCGCAGUGACCAGGCCGCUGCGACUGUUUAUCAAAAACACAGCACUCUGCAAACACGAAAGUGGACGUAUAGGGUGUGACGCCUGCCCGGUGCUGGAAGGUUAAUUGAUGGGGUCAGCCGCAAGGCGAAGCUCUUGAUCGAAGCCCCAGUAAACGGCGGCCGUAACUAUAACGGUCCUAAGGUAGCGAAAUUCCUUGUCGGGUAAGUUCCGACCUGCACGAAUGGCGUAACGACAGCGGCGCUGUCUCCACCCGAGACUCAGUGAAAUUGAAAUCGCUGUGAAGAUGCAGCGUUCCCGUGGCAAGACGGAAAGACCCCGUGAACCUUUACUAUAGCUUUACACUGAACGUUGAGUUCGUCUGUGUAGGAUAGGUGGGAGGCUGUGAAACCCUGGCGCUAGCUGGGGUGGAGCCAACCUUGAAAUACCACCCUGUCGUGCUUGACGUUCUAACCUGGGCCCGUAAUCCGGGUCGGGGACCGUGUAUGGUGGGUAGUUUGACUGGGGCGGUCUCCUCCCAAAGAGUAACGGAGGAGCACGAAGGUACGCUCAGCGCGGUCGGACAUCGCGCACUGUGUGCAAAGGCAUAAGCGUGCUUGACUGCAAGAGCGACGGCUCAAGCAGGUACGAAAGUAGGUCUUAGUGAUCCGGUGGUCCUGUAUGGAAAGGCCAUCGCUCAACGGAUAAAAGGUACUCCGGGGAUAACAGGCUGAUACCGCCCAAGAGUUCAUAUCGACGGCGGUGUUUGGCACCUCGAUGUCGGCUCAUCACAUCCUGGGGCUGUAGUCGGUCCCAAGGGUAUGGCUGUUCGCCAUUUAAAGUGGUACGCGAGCUGGGUUCAGAACGUCGUGAGACAGUUCGGUCCCUAUCUGCCAUGGGCGUUGGAGAUUUGAGAGGGGCUGCUCCUAGUACGAGAGGACCGGAGUGGACGAACCUCUGGUGUUCCGGUUGUCACGCCAGUGGCAUUGCCGGGUAGCUAUGUUCGGAAGCGAUAACCGCUGAAAGCAUCUAAGCGGGAAGCGCGCCUCAAGAUGAGAUCUCCCGGGGCACAAGCCCCCUGAAGGAACCAUCAAGACUAGGUGGUUGAUAGGCAGGGUGUGUAAGCGCAGCAAUGCGUUGAGCUAACCUGUACUAAUGAUCCGUGUGGCUUGACCAU
rnacentral:rRNA from 1 species